rnacentral:rRNA from 1 species
CCUUUGUACACACCGCCCGUCGCUACUACCGAUUGAAUGGCUUAGUGAGGUCUUCGGAUUGGCUUCGGGGAGCCGGCAACGGUGCCCUGUUGCUGAGAAGUUGAUCAAACUUGGUCAUUUAGAGG